GCGGCAGGCCUAAUACAUGCAAGUCGAACGGUAGAUUACUUUCGGGUAAUUGAGAGUGGCGCACGGGUGCGUAACGCGUAUGCAACCUACCCUAUACAGGGGGAUAGCCCGGAGAAAUCUGGAUUAAUACCCCAUAGCACUAUGUUGAGGCAUUUUGAUAUAGUUAAAGAUUUAUCGGUAUAGGAUGGGCAUGCGUCUGAUUAGCUAGUUGGCGGUGUAACGGACCACCAAGGCGACGAUCAGUAGGGGUUCUGAGAGGAAGGUCCCCCACACUGGCACUGAGAUACGGGCCAGACUCCUACGGGAGGCAGCAGUAGGGAAUAUUGGGCAAUGGACGAGAGUCUGACCCAGCCAUGCCGCGUGCAGGAAGACGGCGUUCUGCGUUGUAAACUGCUUUUAUCUGGGAAGAAAAGGCCCAUGCGUGGGACAUUGCCGGUACCAGAUGAAUAAGCACCGGCUAACUCCGUGCCAGCAGCCGCGGUAAUACGGAGG
rnacentral:rRNA from 1 species